GAGGUGGUCAGAAAGCUUCUUGGUGGCAAGGCUCCUGGGUUGUACGAAAUCCGUCCUGAGUACCUUAAGUCUCUGGAUGUUGUGGGACUGUCCUGGUUGACAUGUCUCUGCAAUAUCGCGUGGCAGUCAGGGACAGUGUGUUUGGCGUGGCA